UGAUUGUCUUGGUGUGAUGUGGACCAAAACCUAAUUCUUUGGGGAGCUCAUAUUGUUUUGAUUGAAGAAUGGCACAAGUUGGUGUACAUGGCAACCCUAACUCUAACCCCCCUAAAUGAUGUGGGUUUGAGUCCAUCUUUUUUAAUGCAGAAUGUUUCCAGCACUUCUGGAUCAUCUGGAGCACCAGUGAGCAACCAAACAUCUCCCAUUUCCUCACAGGCCUCAUUGCCCGCAACAGGCUCUGAUGACACCAUCAUUCUGCCACAUUCAGACAAUGACUUGAGAUCAUGUGCAUGGCCACAUGAAUUCCCCAUUCCUCACUUUUCAUACAAUGUAGAGGUACAGCUUCAACGUGGAAAUGACUGCUUCAGAGAAACUGGCACUCAACUGAAGAUUACUCCAGGGUUAAAGUCUGUGUUGUACGUGUAUGUUAUGAGUGUUGAAUGUUACUUUUUGGUACGGACUGUGGAAACAAAUUUCCUCUAUUGAGGACAAUAAAGAAUGAAUAUGGAUAUAUGAAUAUGAUAUCUUAGAGAAGCUAGCCGAGGAGAUCUUCCAGUAUACAGCGUAUCCACAAAAUCACCAAACAGAUGAUGUAGCAGAGGCAUUCAUCAAAAAAUUUCCCUAUGGCUGGAUGAUUAGCCUAAAAUAUAAAAUGGCUAAUUACAGAAUGAAGAUGCAAACCAUUGGCUUUCCAGAAGUGACUGUAAAUGCUUUGAAAAACAAACAUAGUGAUGUAAAGAAGCCUAAAAAGGCUGUAGUCAACUUUUGUCCUUCACACCCUGCUGGCGAAACAGAUGAAAGCUUAGAAAAUGUCAGACUUGAACUGUUGAAUGAUGUCAGACAAAGAAACAAAGUGCAUCGUGUGUAAAAAAGAUGUCAAAAACAUUCUCCUACAGAAGAAAAGAGGUAGUGCAGGAAAAUCCAGCUGCCGGAGAGUUUAAAGCCAGGUGGCUUGCACUUUUUCACAUUGAUGAGAUAAAUUCCGAAUUCCACCGCAUAACAACAGUCCCACUUGAAACAACCUUCAUGGCUCAGUUGGACAGCCAUUUACCCCAGCUGACAUCUAUUUUCAACAAAAAGGGAGGUGUUUCUGUAUAUUGUAAAUAUAAUUUUUAUUUUUAGAAUUUUCAGGUCAUUAAAAUCU